GAUGAACGCUGGCGGCGUGCCUAAUACAUGCAAGUCGAGCGAACAGACGAGGAGCUUGCUCCUCUGACGUUAGCGGCGGACGGGUGAGUAACACGUGGAUAACCUACCUAUAAGACUGGGAUAACUUCGGGAAACCGGAGCUAAUACAGGAUAAUAUUUUGAACCGCAUGGUUCAAUAGUGAAAGACGGUUUUGCUGUCACUUAUAGAUGGAUCCGCGCUGCAUUAGCUAGUUGGUAAGGAAACGGCUUACCAAGGCAACGAUGCGUAGCCGACCUGGGAGGGGGAUCGGCCACCCGGGAACGGGAACACGGUCCAGACUCCUACGGGGGGCAGCAGUAGGGAAUCUUCCGCAAUGGGCGAAGGCCUGACGGAGCAACGCCGCGGGAGGGAUGAAGGUCUUCGGAUCGUAAAACUCUGUUAUUAGGGAAAAACAAAUGUGUAAGUAACUAUGCACGUCUUGACGGUACCUAAUCAGAAAGCCACGGCUAACUACGUG
rnacentral:rRNA from 1 species